AACGAACGCUGGCGGCAUGCCUAACACAUGCAAGUCGAACGAAGCCUUCGGGCUUAGUGGCGCACGGGUGCGUAACACGUGGGAAUCUGCCCUUCGGUUCGGAAUAACAGUUAGAAAUGACUGCUAAUACCGGAUGAUGACGAAAGUCCAAAGAUUUAUCGCCGAAGGAUGAGCCCGCGUAGGAUUAGGUAGUUGGUAGGGUAAUGGCCUACCAAGCCGACGAUCCUUAGCUGGUCUGAGAGGAUGAUCAGCCACACUGGGACUGAGACACGGCCCAGACUCCUACGGGAGGCAGCAGUGGGGAAUAUUGGACAAUGGGCGAAAGCCUGAUCCAGCAAUGCCGCGUGAGUGAUGAAGGCCUUAGGGUUGUAAAGCUCUUUUACCAGGGAUGAUAAUGACAGUACCUGGAGAAUAAGCUCCGGCUAACUCCGUGCCAGCAGCCGCGGUAAAGUAUCGU
rnacentral:rRNA from 1 species